rnacentral:tRNA from 1 species
GCAAUUGAAAUAUAAGGUAUAAAAUGUUCGACUUUUGCCCUCUGAAGGCAGAGGUCAUGAGUUCGAAUCUCGUCGGGUGCACCA